CAGUUCGGACUGUGGUCUGCAACUCGACCACACGAAGCUGGAAUCGCUAGUAAUCGCGAAUCAGCAUGUCGCGGUGAAUACGUUCCCGGGUCUUGUACACACCGCCCGUCACACCAUGGGAGUCAGCAACGCCCGAAGUCAGUGACCUAACCGAGAGGAAGGAGCUGCCGAAGGCGGGGCAGGUAACUGGGGUGAAGUCGUAACAAGGUAAC
rnacentral:rRNA from 1 species